rnacentral:rRNA from 1 species
CGGCAUUAGCCGGUGCUUCUUCUGCGAGUAACGUCAAUUGAUGAACGUAUUAAGNUCACCACCUUCCUCCUCGCUGAAAGUGCUUUACAACCCGAAGGCCUUCUUCACACACGCGGCAUGGCUGCAUCAGGCUUGCGCCCAUUGUGCAAUAUUCCCCACUGCUGCCUCCCGUAGGAGUCUGGACCGUGUCUCANUUCCAGUGUGGCUGGUCAUCCUCUCANACCAGCUAGGGAUCGUCGCNUAGGUGAGCCACUACCCCACUUACUAGCUAA